rnacentral:rRNA from 1 species
UACGUAGGGUGCGAGCGUUGUCCGGAAUUAUUGGGCGUAAAGGGCUCGUAGGCGGUUUGUCGCGUCGGGAGUGAAAACACGGGGCUUAACUCUGUGCUUGCUUCCGAUACGGGCAGACUAGAGGGAUGCAGGGGAGAACGGAAUUCCUGGUGUAGCGGUGGAAUGCGCAGAUAUCAGGAGGAACACCGGUGGCGAAGGCGGUCUCUG